UCCUUCGACUCUCUCUUUCCCUCUCUUUCUUUGUUUUAUCUUGCCUUCGUACUCAUCGGCGAUUCACCGCCGCCGGUGAUCCGAAUAUUUGUCACCGUUUGAGUUUCUUCUUUCUUGUUAGGUAGCGGGACAAAGUAUCUUGCAGAGGAUGAGGAAAAUAACUGCAACAAAAUGAUCGAAGUUUUUAUUCAGCCAUUGCGGUGGGGGCAACCACUCCGGUCCUAUGAUUCUUUCAAAACUUCGUUUAAAGCUGCAAUCAUUGUUCUAAUUGAUCAACAUUGGCAACGCUUUACCAGGCAAGUUCUUCACAUAUCGGGAGCCUCUAGCCUCUAGUAUGUGACUCGCACACCGUGCUUGGAUGUGUUCUGGAACGAAUUUUGGCUGGAAUGCUGCCUAUUUGGACUCAUGAUGCCAAUUGUGAAUUUUACUUUUCUUUACUAUUGUAUUAGAAAAUCAUUGUAAAAUGUUCUUUUAUAAAAGUCAAAGGAAACUAUAUUCGAGCCAAAAUUUUCCCUUA